rnacentral:rRNA from 1 species
GGUUCGAUCCUGGCUCAGAUUGAACGCUGGCGGGAUGUUUACACAUGCAAGUCGAACGGCAGUACGGACUUCGGUCUGGUGGCGAGUGGCGAACGGGUGAGUAAUGUAUCGGAACGUGCCUAGUGGGGAUAACUACGCGAAAGCGUAGCUAAUACCGCACAAUACCCUUCGGGGAAAGCGGGGACCUUCGGGCCUCGCACUAUUAGAGCGCAUGAUAUCGGAUUAGCUAGUUGGUGGGGCAACGCUCACCAAGGCGACGAUCCGUAGCUGGUUUGAGAGGACGACCAGCCACACUGGGAUCUGAGACACGGCCCAGACUCCUACGGGAGGCAGCAGUGGGGAAUUUUGACAAUGGGGAAACUCCUGAUCCAAGCCAUCCUGCAGCGGUGUGCGAUGAAGGCCUUCGGGUUGUAAAGCACUUUUGGCAGGAAAGAAACGGCACGGGAUAAUACCCCGUGCAACGACGGUACCCGCAGAAUAAGCACCGGCCAUCACGUGCCAGCAGCCGCGGUAAUACGUAGGGUGCAGGCGUUAAUCGGAAUUACUGGGCGUAAAGCGCGCAGGCGGUUCGGAAAGAAAGAUGUGAAAUCCCAGAGCUUAACUUUGGAACGGUAUUUAACUACCGGGAGCUUUCAGGGAGUGUGUCAGGAGGGAGGUGGAAUUCCGCGUGUAGCAGUGAAUGCGUAGAUAUGCGGAGGAACACCGAUGGCGAAGGCAGCCUCCUGGGAUAAUACCGACGCUCAUGCAUCGAAAGUGGGAGCAAACAGGAUUAGAUACCCUGGUAGUCCACGCCCCAAACGAUGUCAACUAGCCGUUGGGGCCUUCGGCCCGGUAGCGCAGCUAACGCGUGAAGUUGACCGCCUGGGGAAAGGUACGGUCGCAAGAUUAAAAACUCCGUGCGAAUUGAUGUGGACCCGCACAAGCGGUGGAUGAUGUGGAUUAAUUCGAUGCAACGCGAAAAACCUUACCUACCCUUGACAUGUCUGGAAUCCUGAAGAGAUGGGGAGUGCUCGCAAGAGAACCGGAACACAGGUGCCGUAUGGCUGUCGUCAGCUCGUGUCGUGAGAGAUGUUGGGUUAAGUCCCGCAACGAGUGCAACCCUGUCAUUAGUUGCUGCUACGAAAGGGCACUCUAUCGAGACUGCCGGUGACAAACCGGCGGAAGGUGGGGAUGACGUCAAGUCCCUCGGGCGGCCCUUAUGGGUAGGGCUUCACACGUCAUACAAUGGUUCUCCGGACAGACGGUCGCCAACCCGGCGAGGGGGAGCCAAUCCCAGAAACCCGAUCGUAGUCCGGACUGCAGUCUGCAACUCGACUGCGAAGCUGGAAUCGGCUAGUAAUCGCGGAUCAGCAUGUCGCGGUGAAUACGUUCCCGGGUCUUGUACACACCGCCCGUCACACCAUGGGAGUGGGUUUUACCUGAAGUAGUUAGCUCAACCGUAAGGAGGCGAUUACCACGGUAGGAUCUAUGACUGGGGUGAAGUCGUAACAAGGUAACU